GACGAACGCUGGCGGCGUGCCUAAUACAUGCAAGUAGGACGCAGUUGCGAACGGGUGAGUAACGCGUAGGUAAUUACCUAUUAGCGGGGGAUAACUAUUGGACACGAUAGUUACUACCGCAUAUUAGUAGAUGGAUCUGCGUUGUAUUAGCUAGUAGGUAGGGUAAUGGCCUACCUAGGCAACGAUCCAUAGCCGACCGGAGAGGGUGAUCGGCCACACUGGGACGGAGAAACGGCCCAGACUCCUAAGGGAGGCAGCAGUAGGGAAGCUUCGGCAAUGGGGGGAAACCUGACCGAGCAACGCCGCGUGAGUGAAGAAGGUUUUCGGAUCGUAAAGCUCUGUUGUUAAGGAAGCGGUACUUAACCAGAAAGGGACGGCUAACUACGUGCCAGCAGCCGCGGUAAUAC
rnacentral:rRNA from 1 species